UGUGGAGCUGCAAUGAGCAAGGCUUGUGCUCAGCAACUCUGCAGGCCUUGGGUUCAGAUCUCUGUAUCUGACAUUCUCACAGGUUCCCUGGGGAAAGAAUUUGCAGAGCAGCUCCACAUACGGCAGCGCAAUGAACUGUAGGCCAGGCACCCAGAAGGCUCUCGUGAGGGGGUGCAAUACCAGUGUGAACCCAGCAACUCAAGCCACGUUGGGAUCGACCAUCAUGCGGGUCAGAGUGCGGAUUUCCCCUUCGAACUGUAACGGGAGCAGGAAGGAGACACGCUGUAAAUGGCUCCAUGGCUGACAAUGGCUUGAGGUGCUUGUGCGAGGUGGACGGAGUUGGGGGCACAGCAGCCCUGAAGGUGCCUCCAUGCUGAGGCCAGGCUCUGUUUUACAGAUCCUUGUUUCUCACAACUGGUGCUAACCUUCAUACCUGACAGCAGCGCACCCAUCACUAGCAUGUCACUCCCCAUACGCUCCGCAGGAGCUGCCGACAGCCGCAGGGAGCAGGCAGGGACGACACUCGUGGACGUUGAGUCUGGGGUAGGCCAAGAGCGGCACUGAACAGGGACUGCGGUUGGGAUUUGAGUCCCUCACAAAUCCAGCUCACGUGGUCAGAGUACCAGAAUGGACCAGCAGACUUCGCAUCAGCCAUCACCUCAUCUGAGAAUGGGAGGGAAUCCGCGGAGAGGCUGACGGAGAAACAACUUGGGCCCUGCGGUUACUGGUGCUCUCGAGCUACUGGGGAGCAGUGGGGAAAGUCCCUUCCUCUGGAGAAUGGGUUGGUGCUAAAAGUGCCGGGCUAAGCAUCAGGAGACCUGGGCUCUAAUCCUCGCUCUACCAGGCUUGUUAUCUCAGCCUUUCCGUGCCUGGUUCUCCACGGGGGAAUGGCCCUAGAGCUGCUCAGAAUGCUUCUCCUUUGGAUUCAUCGAACUCUAGACCUUUCACAGGAAUGUGGCGAUGUUGAUGAAAUUUCAGUGGGAAUGGAGGCAGGUUUCUGAGGGAAGCCGGCCUGGUUUCCUGUCAGCUCUCUCGCCUUCCCAGCUCCCUGAC